AUAAAAGAAUGAAAUAAGAAUCAUCCAUGCAGUUGUAUAAUUAACAAUGGAUAUAAAAAAGGUUAUAUUCCUACUCGUUGUGGUGUCCCUGUUAAAUGUGACAAAUUCAUUGGAUCUAUAUCGUGUCACGUUAAUUUUUACUAAAGUUACUGAUGGAAACAGCGAUGAUUGUUCAAACGGAUCCAAUACUUCAGCCAAUUCUGUGUCAGCUUCGGGUGAUUCUGCUGUAGCCAAUGUUGGCCAAGUUGUGAAUGAAAUUGAGGUUCCUGAUGACUCUUAAUCAAACACAUAUUUAUUUGAAUAAAGUGAAAUCCAAUUGAGGAAUGUAAAUCAAAUUUUCACUGUUUUGUUAUUUAAAUACUACUAUAAUAAAGAAUAUGAAAUGUA